rnacentral:rRNA from 1 species
AGCGUAGGUGGUUCGGUAAGUCAGAUGUGAAAGCCCGGGGCUCAACCCCGGGACUGCAUUUGAAACUAUCGUACUAGAGUGCAGGAGAGGUAAGUGGAAUUCCUAGUGUAGCGGUGAAAUGCGUAGAUAUUAGGAGGAACACCAGUGGCGAAGGCGGCUUACUGGACUGUAACUGACACUGAGGCUCGAAAGCGUGGGGAGCAAACA